rnacentral:rRNA from 1 species
CCGUGAUAACGUAGCAUAAUCAUUCGCCACCUAAUUAGUGGAUAGUAUGAAUGGUAAAACGAGUAUAACACUCUCUCAGAAGGAAGUUUUAUGAAAUUGGAAUGGUAGUCAAGAUACUACCUAAAACUGUAAGACGAAAAGACCCUAUAGAGCUUAACUACACCUUUCUCACAAAGUUAAGUUCACUUAAGUUCAAGAAAGAUUGGUAGUUUAGUUGGGGCGACUGCUUUCUAGUAAAAACGAAAGCAAGCAAUAUUAAUUAUCUAAUUUACUGUCUAAUCUAUGUGUUUAACAGUUAUAAAAAUAGGCAAUAGUGACCCGUUAGUAACAAAAAACACCACUAACGAACAAUAAAUAAAAGCUACCUUAGGGAUAACAGGAUAAUCUUGUUCUAGAGACCCUAUCGAAAACAAGGUUUGUCACCUCUAUGUUGAAUUAAGAUAUCCUAGAAGUGUAGAAGCUUCUGAGG